AUUUUGGUAGUUAUGAGGUUCUUCUGCUUUUAUGAUGGAAGCAUUUUGGACGCAGUCGGAAGGCUGUGCUCCGCAUGCAAUCGAGACACAUCAAGUCCCUAUCGGACGAGUUAACUAUAUUCCGCCGGGAGUGGGAAUCCGAACGCCUCCAGCAAGGAAUCAGGGAACCAUGCCGUUCCCACAGCAGUUGGUCUGGGCUGAAAGUCAGGAGAUGCCUAUCACGUUGCCGGCUUAUCUUCUUGAAACAGACGCGUUCUGCCGCCUAACUUACCUCGCUCCCUCCACCUAGCUGACCAAUUCCCCAGUGCACCGCUGCCCCCUGUGUACACCGCGGACUUCUCCCUUCACAAUGCUACCAACUGCAUCACCAGGUAAACACACAUGAGCCCGUGGCGUGCAAACCUUUCUGAAUGUAUCGAAUUCGAGUGAAGCGUGCACACCUGAGACACCGGAUUCGUGCGGUGGGCGCCAGACGCUGGCGCCGUUUGAACCUCGAGAAAAGCGCCUGACGUGAAACACAGCUCUCCUGUGUGCUCCCCAGUGCGCGAUCCUUCUCGGUCCGGUCGGCAGGGGGACGCAGUGCCCCGAUCGGUCUCUUACCCUGGACUUGCGGCGCGCGUCUCAAGCUCCCAUCGCUGCCAGCCGGGAGGUUCCUCGCGCACGCCUCGAUACACCCGAUCUGCGCGCUUCUGCGCCUCCGUCGUUUCUUCGCCGCCUCUCAGCCGCCCCCUUGUCGCGACAGGCGGAGCGCAGAGCGUGUCUCUGCAUUCAGAGGGAAGCCCGGAAGCGUCGCCUCGCGCCGUCAUCUGUCGGUCCAGAGACACAGCCUCACUCUGAGGGCGAGAAGAGGCAGUCGACGAAGACUCCCACAGGUGAAAAGUCGGCUCCAACGGGUCCGGAGAGUUACGGUUUCACCGUGGUCUCCGUCGUUGUCUCUCCUAAACAAGGAUCCAGUCCACACGCACGGCCUCUCCUCUGAUCCGGCGCCAGGCCUUGUUUCCCCACACGGCGCGUGAGAGUGGAGAGGCUCACGCUCGACAUCGCAGCGCCGAGUUUCAAAAUCGCUUUCUUCUCCACCGCUGGCCUGUGCCUUUCGACUAGACGACGCCUCUUCUCUGUGUCGGCCAUGAAGGCGGCUGAGUCGGUGGUUGUCCUUUGUCUGUUCUCUCCCGUAACGCGGCCCGAGAGAAGCGAACGCGUCGCGUUCCAGAUGACACAAAUCCGACUCCCUGCGGCCGUCCGUCGCUUCUUCUACUGGACUUUGCCCUCGCCCAACGUGCAGCCUUUCUCGCCAACAGGGCCCGCAUUGCGGCGUCUGGCCGGCGUAAUUCGCCAGAGGGAAAGGAGCAGCCACGCUCUGCUGCGAGAGGACGCGCUGCUUGUGUGCUUGCCAUAUCUCUGCUGCUCGGUGCCUCACCUCAGAGGGAGGUGCGCUGCGGUGGUGCUUCUCCGCUGCGUGACUCACGAGGGGUGGAAGAUCGCUCUCAGCCCGGCCUGGAGGGCCUUCACCAGGUGGAGAGACACGUCUGCCUGGACUCCUGCGAAGGGAAGCGUGCGCUGCAGAAGGCAGAACGGUCCAGACAGGAUGCGAGAGAGAGCGGCCUCCGGCCCAAACUGCUUCGUCUCUGCAGGCGUGUUCGCGGGCAUACGCAACAAGCGGGGGAAGAACAGACGGGUGGGACGAGACAGAUAAAACAGAGGCAGCUGUCCCGUUCGUCGUGCAGUGAGGCAGCGAGGUUGCUUUCAUCUGGUGAGCUAGGUGAGGGCGAAACGGCGGCUGGCAAGCGAAUCGCGGGUCAUUUGGGGAGGAGGCGGCACGAGACACACACGAAAGAAGGGAAACAUGCGUACACGCUUCUGACACGCCGCGCCUUGGUCUCGCAGACAGCUCUAUACACUGGUCAAUUGGCAGAGACGAAAAUCCGCCGUCAAAAACCGCCCCGUUUUUUCCCUCCAGCGAGCGCUCCGUACCCACAGCAGGUCCCACAGAGAGUCGCCAAGAGUUUUGGGAGCCCGGCGAGGAACUCCCAGGCCCUUCACGCCUUAUCCAUUGGCCAGAGACCAGCCGCGCCCAACGAGGACUGCGAAGUGCUCCGCAGAACCUUCUGCCGUAUGGCAAAGCGCUUGUCGGAGUCUCAAGGAAACAACUGUCGCACUGUGAGGUCUCUACGGGCAACUGAUGAGCGCGGAAGCCGCGAAAAGAAGAGAAACCCAGAGCGGGGAGAAAUGCGAGUGGGCCAGGUGGGCCGUACGGCUCGGGGGUCUGGACACCGCGGGACGACUCGGGCGGCGGCUCCACAGGCGACGGUCCUUGACACAACUUAGGCGUGCGGCCUGUGCACUCAGCAGCUGGGAUAGUGGCCGUCCGUCGCGCGGACCGCCACUUCGCCCAAAGCUCUUCUGGCGGGGGAUAAACAGGCGGAAGCGGCCAAAGACGCGGACCCGGAACUUGCCGUCCUGCACUACCCCCCUCCGUACGCAGUCUUCCCGCAAGCAGCCCUUUUGUUUGUGCAGGAGCUGACGGAGCACCUGUCCAUCGCGAUCGGGAGGUAGAGUCGAUCUGCGAGUUUCCUCCCGCUCCACUCGAGAAGGCGGCCGGUUGGUCGCCAGGUUGACGCGUCCCAGAAAACCUGCGACUUUUCCGCGGCAGUGUAAAUCGUUGACAGUGCGGAAGAAGGUUGUCUGCAUCCAGACGGGGCGGCAGAAAUGCAUAGUCCGCCGCCGUGGCACACUCACGCCUCUGCACUCUUUUCUGAAGGAAAGUCAGCACGUCGGGAGAACCAGGAGACGGGAACAAAGGCAUAGAAUCCGUGUUAUGGACACCGGGCAGGAAGGAUGGACCAACAUGUGAGCGUGAUUGAAAAGAACUUGGAGAAAAACACCGACCUGAAGGGACGGCAGACGGAUGGAGUGAAGCUUCUGGAUGGCCAUUUCCGAUACUCGCUACGGGCAGGCUUUGGGAGUACGCAGUUGUUGCGAUGGGACAGGCAACCGAGUCCGAAACAAAGAGGGGAACAUGCUUAUCGCCUACCAUAGGAAACAACUUGGUUUUAGAAGAAGAGGUGAACAGGGUG
rnacentral:lncRNA from 1 species